rnacentral:rRNA from 1 species
CCUACGGGUGGCAGCAGUGAGGAAUAUUGGUCAAUGGACGAGAGUCUGAACCAGCCAAGUAGCGUGAAGGAUGACUGCUCUAUGGGUUGUAAACUUCUUUUAUAUGGGAAUAAAAGGAUACACGUGUGUCUUUUUGUAUGUACCAUAUGAAUAAGGAUCGGCUAACUCCGUGCCAGCAGCCGCGGUAAUACGGAGGAUUCGAGCGUUAUCCGGAUUUAUUGGGUUUAAAGGGUGCGUAGGUGGUCGGUUAAGUUAGUGGUGAAAGUUUGCGGCUCAACCGUAAAAUUGCAGUUGAAACUGGUAGUCUUGAGUGGAGUAGAGGUAGGCGGAAUGCGUGGUGUAGCGGUGAAAUGCUUAGAUAUCACGCAGAACACCGAUUGCGAAGGCAGUUUACUGAACUACAACUGACACUGAGGCACGAAAGUGUGGGGAUCAAACAGGAUUAGAUACCCGGGUAGUC